rnacentral:rRNA from 1 species
UACGUAGGGUCCGAGCGUUGUCCGGAGUUACUGGGCGUAAAGCGCGCGCAGGCGGUUCACUAAGCCCGGCGUGAAAGCCCCCGGCUCAACCGGGGAGGGUCGUCGGGGACUGGUGAACUUGAGGGCGGCAGGGGCUGGUGGAAUCCCCGGUGUAGUGGUGAAAUGCGUAGAGAUCGGGGGGAACACCUGUGGCGAAGGCGGCCAGCUGGGCCGUCCCUGACGCUGAGGCGCGAAGGCGUGGGGAGCGAACGGG